AUGUGCGACUGAACGAGCAAAGGUCUAUGAAAUCAGAAACCCAAAGGUGCGAUCGACUCCAGCUACGAGAAUGGGUGCGACUAAACGGGCAAAGGUCUAUGAACGGGCUGAACCCUCUUCGUUGCUGCGAUCGAUUCCAGUGAGACUUUGCUUAAGGUAAAGCAAGCUUUUUUCAUCGAAAGCUAACAUAAAUGCCGCUACGAAGCUUUCUUGGGUUUCCAGUUUCGCGAUUGGGACGAAGAAAUGGGUUUUCGAUGUGGGAAUUGGGAUUUUAGCAGCCUCGAUUGUUGCAAUUUCAGGUGGGCAAAGGUUGAAACUCUCAACAUUUUUGAACCACUAUAAAUAAAUCUCAAUCUCAGUGGGCAAAGGUGGCUUGCCGAACACAAACAUUUAAACAGCCAAAUAAUUGUAUCAAGCUAUGUAAAUUGUAGCAAACCUUCAUCAGAAAAACUUAGAACCUUAUUGCUUGUAUGCAAUCCACUGGGGCUGAUGUUAUCAAACUAAUAGUUGAAGUGCAUAACAUCAUAGAUGUAGCUCCAAUUUUCCAUUGGCUUACUCAUUUUCAGGUGCCAUUAAUUGCUACUGCAGUGGGCAGCAGAGGUCUUAUAAGCCAACUUUUGGCACCUAAGUUUGGUGGAUUUUUAGUGUAUGGUUAUCUAAAAAGCGACCCUAUUCCUGGCUUACCAACUUUGGUUAGCCUUAAACAAAUUUAUGAGCUUGAACAUGUAAAUGAGUACACAAAAAUCUUUGGCCUUUUUUCAAAUCCUGUUGGUCAUAGUAAAAGUCCUAUUCUACACAACCUUGCUCUGAGACAUAUUGGAUACAAUGGAAUUUAUGUUCCCAUGAUGGUUGAUAAUGUCAAUGAAUUCUUUCAAACGUACACAAGCAUGGACUUUGCUGGUUUCAGAUGAAUAAAGCUUGGAUGAUUCUGGAGAAUGCGACUCAAGGGACUUUAAAGAACAAGAUACAUGGAUUGGGGUUGCGUCUCUUAGCUGGGGUAAAGCCAUCUGAGAUGUUGUUGAAGUCUAUACCUAAGGAGGUCACAACUGUCGAAGUCACCUACCCUUCAAGGUGGACAUGGUAACUCCUAUGUCCUCUCAAUUAACAUAUGAUGGGCUUUUAGAUGAGAAAGCAUACUAUUGGAUUGAAGCUGAAAUCAUAUUAAAAAUUAUCAACCAAGAUUUUUUUUUACAUGUCGUGCGAUUUUUGUAAUAAGGAACUUAUGUUCUACAACGACAAUGAAGAAACAAAUUGUGAAAAUCCAAAAUGCGGAAAAAGAUGUCUUCUUACACCACGUGCAAGGACAUAUGUACAACUCGACGAUGGUACCGAGUUGCUAGAUGCUGUGAUGUUCGGUGAUGUUGCAGAAAACAUAUUCUCAUGUACUGCAAUUCAAUUAAAAUCAUAUUAGGACGAGAAACAUAAGUUGUUUGUCCAAAAAACUACGGAGCAAUUAUCAGCCAAAAAAUAGAGAAUUCAGUUGUAUGUAGAUCCAAAACGAACAAUGAGUUCAAAGUACAAUCAAUUCACCAUUCAAGCAGCUGAACCAAUGGAAGAUUAGGCAGAAGUUUCACUAUACUCUUUUUAGUUUUUCUAAUAAUAUUCCAUAUAUUAAGACUUUUUUUAAUACUUUUUUCUUCUAUUUUAAGAUCGCACAUUCACUUUAAUUUUUGUUUCAUAAUGUUUGCUUUAAAAUCUGCAAAACUUAUGACUUGUUCUUCCAAAUUUUUUAUAAGUAAAUAAUAAGUAUUAUUUAGUUAUGACUUAUAUAUACCCAAAUUUAUUUGAAUAACCAAUUAUAAUAGCACAAAUAUUACUUUAAUAAAACAAAUCAUUCGUAUGAUCAUACCUUCACGUACAAUCUAAAUAAGACAAAAUAAAAAAACUUAAACUUUACCUAAAACUAAUAUUUAUGUGUCUCGGCACGUAACUCCUACCUAGUUUAUAUAUAAAGAGGAUAUAAUAUGUGGUCUUUCUUCCUUCACGUUCUCUACUUCAUAAUCAGCUGUUGCUUCUGUUUUUAUUUUAUUAUUAGAAAUUAAUGUUUUAUUUUCUUAAUUGGUUGCUUAUAAUAAUUUCAAAACACAAAACCUGCAACAAUAACGCUAGAAAAGAAAUAGAACAAUACGAGAGAGAGAUGGGGAAGAAAAAACCACAUCAUGAUUCUAAGAAAACUAUCCAAAUUAAAUGAGCAUUACGUACAAUUAAGUAUCAUUAGUGUUAUAAUAUUAUUUUGAGUUAACACUUCUUAAAUAGUUAAUGAUACUUUAUAAUAAUUAUUAGCUUACUGAUCCUUAAAAUAUUAUUUUUACAUAGUAACAUAUUAUUUUAAAACAGAAUAUUGACAUAUUUGUUAGAGAUUUUAUUACAAUGAAAGAAAAUCAAGAUAUUACAACUCUAUUGUAAUACAAUACAAGGACUAACAAAGAGAUUAAACAAAUGUUACAACAACAUAAUAUACAACAUAUAUACACUAUAUAUAUUAUAUAUAAGAAAUAUAGAAGAAGAUAAGAACACAUGUAAUAUAAAAUAUGUAUAUAUAUAAUAAGAGAAUAAUAUAUAUACAAUCACUCACAACCUUGAGUAUAGAUUAGUAGGGAUCACCAUGACUUGAACAAGGUAUUACACCUUUGUCCAAAAGCUUAUUUCCCCCUAUCUCUACACUACUACAAUGUUAGCCUUUAGAGGCAGUUUUUUCAACCCUAUUUAUAAAAAGGGAAGCUAAAGGGUGUGAAAAUACCCGCUAUGUUCGAAAUUGACAUUUAGAGGCGGUUUUUUUGAUAAAAACCGUAGGUAUAAAAUUGCAUUAUACCAUUUAGAGGCGGUUGGAAAUUAUUAUUUUUUUUUUUUUCUGAAUUACCCUAUGCCGUCGGUUCCUUCAUAGAACCGACGCAUGUGGUACACGUAAACCUCGACACGUGUACCCUAUGCCGUCGGUUCCUAUGAAGGAACCGACGCCAUAGGGUCGAUCAGACUAUAACCCUUUUGCUCGACCUUCCUUCUUCCUCCCCACUUCACUCAGCAACCCAAAAAAACCAGAGACCCAUUUCUCUCAGCCAAAACCCUCGCCUCCACCACCUUCUCCCCACCCUAUCUCCCUCAUUUCUCAACCAUUUCAGCCCAUUUUUUUUUUUAAAAUCCUCCAUUUUCGAUACUUAAUAACAUACACCUAAAAAGUUCUGAUUUUUUAGCCUCUAAAAGUGUCAUCCGAACCCAAAUAGUAAACUUUGGGUGUGAAAUCCGGCCACCCAUUUUUGUUGAGAAAUUGUUCAAUCUCAACCUCGUUUAAGUGUCGGGAUUUUUUACGGUGGUCGUCGGAUUGCGGUUAUUAGGUAAUAAUUUAUACCACAAUGUAUAGUAUAUAUAUGUAUUUGUAUAUUUUAUUGAAUAUUUGUAUAUAAUGUGUGUAUAUAUUGUGUGUGUAUAUAGUGUGUGUAUAUUUUUUAUGAAAAUAAAUUUUGUAAUUGUAUUUUAUAUAUUUUUUGCAAUGUAUAUUUAUUGUGAAUAAAAUGACAUUGGAGGGAUUUUAUUAGUUUCAAAAAAAAAAAUUAGUUUAGAAAUAAAAAUUUUAAAAUGGAAUUAGUGUGUGAUAUAAUUUUAUUUUUUUGAGAUAAUAGUGUGAGAUAUAAUUGAUUAUAUAUAUGUAUGUAUAAUUUAGUAACUAAGUAACUUGUUACAAUUUUUUAUAACUAGUUAUAAGUUAUGAAAUAAUUAAUUUUGUAAUUUCGUUGUAUUUCUUUAUAUUAUAGGGGUUCGGCAUAAUUUUGUGUGUAGCGUAUUUGGGCUUGCAAUUAUAGGUAUAUACUUUUACUAACUUUUUCUUAAUAUAUAAUUAAUUAUCAAUGCAUGUUAGUUGAGUUUGAAUAUCUUAAAUAUUCAUCCGUAGUGAAGUAGGUUCUGCGAAUACAUGUACAUCGGUCGGAUGGGUGGAUUAAUUUUGUAUUGUUUAUCUGUUUUGUUUGUUAUUUUAGGCACUUGUAAAAUUUUUGGGAACGUCCAAUUACAGUAGUUAUGCCGCCGAAAUUUCGGUAGAAUUAGGAUAAAUCUUACUAAAACCAUUCAUAAUAUAGUUAAUUAUAACAUAGUAAUAAGAAGUUAGGUCACAUAAAAAAUAAUAAUAUUCACAUUUAUGAAAACUUUUUAAUU